UUUGCUUUAAAUAAAAGGUCCAGCCUGCCCAGUGACACUGUUCAACGGCCGCGGUAUCCUAACCGUGCGAAGGUAGCGUAAUCACUUGUUCUUUAAAUGAGGACUAGUAUGAAAGGCACCACGAGAGUCAUACUGUCUCCUCUUUCCAAUCAGUUAAACUAAUCUCCCCGUGAAGAAGCGGGGAUAAUUAUAUAAGACGAGAAGACCCUAUGGAGCUUUAAACGAAUAACACUUGCCCGUCACUUUUAAAUUUCAGAAAAACCUACUACCUUGGCAUCAUACUUAUAAGUUUUUGAUUGGGGUGAUCACGGAACAAAAAAUAACCUCCGCAAUGAAAGACUCUCCAUUUCUAAGUCAAGAACCACAACUCUACACCUCAACAAAUUGACACCAAUUGACCCAAUUUAUUGAUCAAUGAAC
rnacentral:rRNA from 1 species